AACAAGGUGAUGGAUUUCUAUAAUCUGAAUAUGGGUGUUGAACUCCAUGCCAUUGGUCUUCAAAGUUCUCUGAUUUCU